rnacentral:rRNA from 1 species
GAGUUUGAUCUUGGCUCAGGAUUAACGCUGGCGGCAUGCCUAAUACAUGCAAGUCGAACGAAACACUUCGGUGUUUAGUGGCGAACGGGUGAGUAACACGUAUUUAAUCUACCCAAAAGUGGGAAAUAACAAUUGGAAACGAUUGCUAAUACCGCAUAAUAUCUUUUGUGAUAACACAAUUGAUUGAAAGGUGCGUUUGUCACCGCUUUUGGAUGAGAAUGCGGCGUAUUAGUUAGUUGGUGGGGUAAGUGGCUCACCAAGACAAUGAUACGUAGCCGACCUGAGAGGGUGACCGGCCACAUCGGGACUGAGACACGGCCCGGACUCCUACGGGA